CGGACGGGUGAGUAAUGUAUGGGGAUCUGCCUGAUGGCGGGGGGUAACUACUGGAAACGGUAGCUAAUACCGCAUAACGUCGCAAGACCAAAGAGGGGGACCUUCGGGCCUCUUGCCAUCAGAUGAACCCAUAUGGGAUUAGCUUGUAGGUAAGGUAACGGCUUACCUAGGCGACGAUCCCUAGCUGGUCUGAGAGGAUGAUCAGCCACACUGGGACUGAGACACGGCCCAG
rnacentral:rRNA from 1 species